UCUGAUAAUAAAAGAGUUGUAACGUCUUUCAUCAAAGAUAAACAUCUUGGGACCACUUAACAAAUCCACAUCCCUAGCCCUUUGUCACAUUCUUGAAAAAAAAAUCCUUAAAAGGGGGAACUCCCAACCUUUCAGGACACACCUCUCUCUCUGAGGUUGCCCCUCACUUUCUAAGUGCGUAGACUUAAAUAAAAGUUUCCCAAUCUUUUGGUGCACCUCUCUCUGAGGUCACCCACACUUUCUAAGUGCAUAGCCUUAUUAAACUUUUUCUCAAUCUUUCAGGGCAUGCCUCACUCUGAGGUCACCCACACAUUCUCUCUUGAAGUGAGUUAACUUUAAAUAAAACUUUUUCUCUGCUUCACUACUCCAUCUCUGUGCUUGAUUUUUUGUUGUGGCUGGGACAAGAACUGAGGAAAAUAAACAAUACCCACCCCUCCCAACAUCUAUAGGUGUGUUUAUGUCAAUUUUCAUGAUUAUGAUAGCUUUAGCCUCAUAUUAUAUGAUACAAUGUAUUAAUACAUUUGAAUUGCCUUUGUUUGGAGACUUUGGGGGCAUUAAAUCAGGACUUUGACUUGUCUUUGUGGAUAAUACCCAUACAGUCUGUCUAGCCCACCAAGCUCAGUCCUGCAGCAUUCACUGAGUCUUCUCUGCACCAGGCCAGUUAGCUGUUAACCACAGGUUGAAAGGAUCAGAACCAUUUCAAAAGCUUUUCUGUUUUGCUUCCCAUAUGGUUUCUGAUGCCGGGGUUCUUGUUCGCUGAGUUGAAGAAUGAACUUUGCAAACACUCAAGAUUUUAUAGAAUAAAAAAAAAGAUGUCACUUACCAAGACAACCUGCCAGUCUGUCCUGUUGGCAGCCUGUAUGUAAUUCAAAUACUUCCUGGAACAUUUAUUUCCUGGUAACCACAUUUAAUGUUGGGGAUGGGGAAAAUAAAAGCUCUUUUAUGCCAUCUACUGAGUCCCACCGAAACUACAUUACAUGGUGCUCAAUGGCUACAUCUGACUUGUGCCUACCAUACUGGACAGCCCGAGUCUAGAUGGAAUCAUCACAGCUAUGCAUCAAGUACAAGCCUAAGUAUAGUUAAUAGCAGCCCAAAAGAGCUAACUCAAAAAUAGAGGUUUCAUGUAUUAGAUUCUAGGCAUCCCUCUACUUCUCUCAAUAGUGGUUUCUGCUCACCGCUAAGUCCAUACCAGGCAUUUCUUUUUAGAAGUGUAAAUAUUCUGCUGAUUAAAUUUGACCUGCAGUUGUUUGUUUUUAUAGAAAAGCUUUAUGGAGAUUAAUUGGCAUACUAUAAAAAUUUCACACAUUUAAAGUAUAUAAUCCAAUGGCUUCAGGUAUAUUCACAGAAUCAUGCAACUAUUAUUCCACAAUCAAUUUAGAACAUUUUCAUCACCCUAAAAAGAAACACAACACCCCUUAGCUGUUACCCUCCACCCCUCCAUGUGCCCGAAUGCCAGACAACCUCUAUAGAUUAUACUAAUCACUACAGAUUUCAGAUUUGCCUAUUCUCAACAUUUCAUAUAAAUGGAAUCUGGUCUGAAACUGGUUCCUUUCACUUAGUCUAAUACUUUCAAGAUUUAGCCAUAUGGUAGCAGGUAUCAGUAUUCUAUUUUCUCAUCACUAAAUAAUUUUCCAUUGUAUGGGUAUACUACUUCUUAUUUAUCCAUUUAUCAGUCAGUGGACAUUUGGGUUGUUUACACUUAUGGCUUUUAUGAAGAAUGUUGCUAUGAAUAUUUGUGUACAAGUGUUUCUGUAGACAUACUUUCUCUUGGGUGUAGACUUAGGUGUAGAAUUGCUGCAUCAUAUGGUAACUACAUUUAGCCUUUUGAGGCAUUCAAGGCUGUUUCCAAAGACGCUGUACCGGUUUACAUUCCCACCAGCAGCGUGUAAGGCUUCCAAUUUCUUCACAUCCUUGCAACCACUUGUUAUUAUCUUAAUUUUAUUAUAGUCUUCUUACUGGGAAUGAUGUGAUAUCUCAUGGUUUUAAUUUGCAUUUCCCUGAUGCCUAAUGGUGUUGAGCAUCUUUUCAUAUAUAGGCUAGGCAUUUGUAUAUCUUUUUGCAAACUUGUUUAUCAUUCUAGUUAGUUUUUUAGUGGAUCCCUAAGGAUUUUCUACAAACAAGAUCAGGUCAUCUGUAAAAUGCCAUCCUCUCCCUCUCCAACAGGGAUGCCUCUUAUAACAUGUGUCUGCCCAAUUGCUCUGACUAGAACUUCCAGUAUAAUGUUGAAUAGAAGUGGUGAGACCAGACAUCCUCAUCUUGUUCUUGAUGUUAGGGAGAAAGUUUUGAGUAUUUCACCAUUAAGUAUAUUAGCUGUAAGUUUUUCAUUGAUUUUUUUUUACUAGGUUGAGGAAGUUCCCAUUACUUCCUGGUUUGUCGAGUGUUUUUCAUCAGCAAGAGGUAGAGAAUAUGGCUUCUCAAGCAGUAAGGAAGAAAACAAACAGUGUGACCACAGUACCCUAGCUUGGGAGGUGCCUCUCGCAGCCAGGUUAAUACACGUGAGCAGUGCCCAGUGUUCCUCUGCUUCCUUCCCUCCCUUCUCGCCCCACACCAUAAUUCCUUCACCCACUUGACCCUGGAGCUCAAAUUGUGCCCCAUAAAGGGAAUUAAAAAUGGUAUCAUUUGGAUAUUUGCCAUUUAAUUCAUUCUCCCUUAACUACUUGAAGUUUGCCAGCCAACAUUUGAAACCACCACCUGAGAAAUGCUAGGUCAAGGUCAGCCCUGUUCCC